rnacentral:rRNA from 1 species
UCUGGUUGAUCCUGCCAGAGGUUACUGCUAUCGGUGUUUGCCUAAGCCAUGCGAGUCAUAUGUUCUUCGUGAACAUGGCGUACUGCUCAGUAACACGUGGAUAACCUGCCCUUGGGACCGGCAUAACCCCGGGAAACUGGGGAUAAUUCCGGAUACCGCAUAUAUGCUGGAAUGCUUUAUGCGUAAAAUGGAUUCGUCUGCCCAAGGAUGGGUCUGCGGCCUAUCAGGUAGUAGUGGGUGUAAUGUACCUACUAGCCAACGACGGGUACGGGUUGUGAGAGCAAGAGCCCGGAGAUGGAUUCUGAGACAUGAAUCCAGGCCCUACGGGUCGCAGCAGGCGCGAAAACUUUACAAUGCGGGAAACCGUGAUAAGGGGACACCGAGUGCCAGCAACAUUUGUUGGCUGUCCGGGUGUUUAAACUACACCCGUUAGCAAGGGCCGGGCAAGACCGGUGCCAGCCGCCGCGGUAACACCGGCGGCCCGAGUGGUGAUCGUGAUUAUUGGGUCUAAAGGGUCCGUAGCCGGUUUGGUCAGUCCUCCGGGAAAUCUGACGGCUUAACCGUUAGGCUUUCGGGGGAUACUGCCAGGCUUGGAACCGGGAGAGGUAAGAGGUACUACAGGGGUAGGAGUGAAAUCUUGUAAUCCCUGUGGGACCACCUGUGGCGAAGGCGUCUUACCAGAACGGGUUCGACGGUGAGGGACGAAAGCUGGGGGCACGAACCGGAUUAGAUACCCGGGUAGUCCCAGCCGUAAACGAUGCUCGCUAGGUGUCAGGCAUGGCGCGACCGUGUCUGGUGCCGCAGGGAAGCCGUGAAGCGAGCCACCUGGGAAGUACGGCCGCAAGGCUGAAACUUAAAGGAAUUGGCGGGGGAGCACAACAACGGGUGGAGCCUGCGGUUUAAUUGGACCCAACGCCGGAC